UCUCCCAGUUCGGCACAAUAACCACGUUUCUUACUCGGUUAUUAACCUAAACCACAAAAUCAGUGAAGCUUUCGAUAUUUCGUAAAGCUUUACACCAUUUUCUUCUGGAAGAUUCGCAGCGUUCCUAUCCUCUUCUUCAAAUAAAGAGAUUCCUUUACUAAUAUUCUACCCUAAUUUGCAAGAUAAGUUAUCAACACGAUUAGGAUUUCGUUUAAUUGCAGAUAAAAAUUAUGGUUAGGGUUUCUGUAGAUUGAUAUUGUUAAUCUGAUUAUAAUUCUUCUUCUGCCCUAAUCGUACAAUUGACAUCCUACUAUUCUUCUGCCUUUGUAAUUGAUGUUUACCCUAAUUUCAAUUUCCAGGUUAAAAUUAGUUUGUAAAAGAAACAAUUGGUACGAUUUCAAGGAUUAAUCUACAAUCACAUCAGAUACAUUAGUAUCACGAAAAGGAAGCAUGAUCAGAAAAAAGAGAUCUUUUAACUAAAGAUUACAACUUUGAUCAGAAGCUGACUCUAAUCACGAUGAGCAUUAUUGGGAUCAGAAACUGCGGGAAUGGUUACUGCAGUAAAUAUUGUUUUCUUGUCCUUUUACCAAUGUUAAGCACUGUGAUGCUAACUAUAUUAGGAACACAUGCAUCCAUAGGCCAACAUAGAACCAGAGUAUAGAUGAGCCUUCUCAUAAUAGUUUUCUUUUUGUUGUCUUCCAUUGAAGUAAGGAUGAAAUUCUGAGCUAUAUCUAUGUCUAGUUUCUGUAGUUGGGUUUCUUAUUUAAUUCUUUGAAUUUUAUCUUAUUUCAGCAUGUAAAAGUGAAUUGCAUAAUAAAUACCUGAC